rnacentral:lncRNA from 1 species
GUUAUUUAUCCCCAAGUUCCUUAAUCCGGCAUUCAAUGUAGUGUUUCUUGCAAACAAAAACAAUAUUGUUUGUUAUGGAGGCAAGACACAACUCUUCUAAGACACGAGGGUCUUUAAAGAUGGAAGGAGCUUUGGUGCUCAUUGACCCUUUAAGAUCACAUAUUUUCUUUACUCUUCGUUAUAUAGUUAUAUUCAUUUACAG